UACGAAGGGGGCUAGCGUUGUUCGGAUUUACUGGGCGUAAAGCGCACGUAGGCGGAUUGGUCAGUUAGAGGUGAAAUCCCAGAGCUCAACUCUGGAACUGCCUUUAAUACUGCCAGUCUAGAGUCCGGAAGAGGUAAGUGGAACUCCUAGUGUAGAGGUGGAAUUCGUAGAUAUUAGGAAGAACGCCAGUGGCGAAGGCGGCUUACUGGUCCGGUACUGACGCUGAGGUGCGAAAGCGUGGGGAGCAAACAGG
rnacentral:rRNA from 1 species